GGUAGCUCAGUUGGCUAGAGUGUGAUGCUGAUAAUGCCAAGGUUGCAGGUUUGAUCCCUGAAUGAGACA